AGCAGCCGCGGUAAUUCCAGCUCCAAUAGCGUAUAUUAAAGUUGUUGCAGUUAAAAAGCUCGUAGUUGAAUUUCGAGAUCAGUACGCUGGUCGUGCCUUCGGUAUGCACUGGUGUCACUGGUUUCUCCCUUCUGAAGAACCGUCAUGUCAUUAAGUUGGUGUGGCGGGGAAUCAGGACUGUUACUUUGAAAAAUUAGAGUGUUUAAAGCAGGCUCGCGCUUGAAUACAUUAGCAUGGAAUAAUGAAAUAGGACGUUUGACCCUAUUUUGUUGGUUUCUAGGAUCGACGUAAUGAUUAAUAGGGAUAGUUGGGGGCAUUAGUAUUCAAUUGUCAGAGGUGAAAUUCUUGGAUUUAUUGAAGACUAACUACUGCGAAAGCAUUUGCCAAGGAUGUUUUCAUUAAUCAAGAACGAAAGUUAGGGGAUCGAAGACGAUCAGAUACCGUCGUAGUCUUAACCAUAAACUAUGCCGACUAGGGAUCGGAUGAUGUUAAUUUUUUAAUGACUCAUUC
rnacentral:rRNA from 1 species